rnacentral:rRNA from 1 species
UACGUAGGGGGCGAGCGUUGUCCGGAUUUAUUGGGCGUAAAAGAGCUCGUAGGCGGUUCAGUAAGUCGGGUGUGAAAACUUUGGGCUUAACCCAAAGCGUGCAUCCGAUACUGCUGUGACUUGAGUACGGUAGGGGAGCGGGGAAUUCCUAGUGUAGCGGUGAAAUGCGCAGAUAUCAGGAAGAACACCAAUGGCGAAAGCAGCUCUCUGGGACGGUACUGACGCUGAGACGCGAAAGCGUGGGGAGCGAACAGG